rnacentral:misc_RNA from 1 species
UGGUUCUGGCAUCGAUGAAGAACGCAGCGAAAUGCGAUAAGUAAUGUGAAUUGCAGAAUUCAGUGAAUCAUCGAAUCUUUGAACGCACAUUGCGCCCUUUGGCAUUCCGAAGGGCAUGCCCGUUCGAGCGUCAUUAAAUCCAAUCAAGCCUGGCUUGGUAUUGGGCGCUGGAGCUCCUCCACGCCCCAAUGUCCCCGGCCGGCCAGUCGCCUGUCUUAAUGUCGUGACGCAUUUCAUUAAAGCAGGGGCGGUGCACGCCGUUAGAAUUCAACAAAGCUCUCACGAACUUUGAUUAAGGUUGACCUCGGAUCGGGUAGGAAUACCCGCUGA